UACGGGACGCAGCAGUGGGGAAUUUUGGACAGUGGGGAAAACCCCUGAUCCAGCCAUCCCGCGUGUGCGAUGAAGGCCUCGGGUUGUAAAGCACUUUUGGCAGGAAAGAAACGGCACGGAUAAUACCCUGCGCAACUGACGGUACCUGCAGAAUAAGCACCGGCUAACUACGUGCCAGCAGCCGCGGUAAUACGUAGGGGUGCAAGCGUUAAUCGGAAUUAAUAAGUAAGCGUGCGCAGGCGGUUCGGAAAGAAAGAUGGGAACUCAGAGCUUAACUUUGGAACUGCAUUUUUAACUACCGAGCUAGAGAGGUGUCAGAGGGAGGUGGAAUUCCGCGUAGCAGUGAAAUGCGUAGAUAUGCGGAGGAACACUCCCGAUGGCGAAGGCAGCCUCCCCUGGGAUAACACUGACGCUCAUGCACGAAAGCGUGGGGAGCAAACAGGAUUAGAUACCCCGGUAGU
rnacentral:misc_RNA from 1 species